rnacentral:tRNA from 1 species
GCCUGGGUGGCUCAGUCGGUUGAGUGUCCGACUUCAGCUCAGGUCAUGAACUCACACUCCGUGAGUUCGAGCCUCGCGUCGGGCU